UACGUAGGGGGCUAGCGUUGUCCGGAAUCAUUGGGCGUAAAGCGCGUGUAGGCGGUCCGGUAAGUCCGCUGUGAAAGUCGGGGGCUCAACCCUCGGAUGCCGGUGGAUACUGUCGGGCUUGAGUACGGAAGAGGCGAGUGGAAUUCCUGGUGUAGCGGUGAAAUGCGUAGAGAUCCGGAGGAACACCAGUGGCGAAGGCGACACGCUGGCCAUACCUGACGCUGAAGCAGCGACAGCAUGGGAGCAAACGG
rnacentral:rRNA from 1 species